rnacentral:rRNA from 1 species
CGACCCCAGGUCAGGCGGGACUACCCGCUGAGUUUAAGCAUAUCAAUAAGCGGAGGAAAAGAAACUUACCAGGAUUCCU